GUAGGCUUCAAGGAUGGGGGCUGGAGGUUGUAUUUCUGAGUUUUAAGAAUUUACUUGAGCAGGGACCACAUAAUCAAGGGCAAACAUGCUUGUAAAAUCCCCAUAGAGUGGCGGUGUAGCUCUUCCUGAGAAGUUUGUAGCUUUUUUGCUCAGUGUUGACCUUUUUCUGUGAGGAUCCCAAAUCUCAGAUCCUGUAAUGUUUGUACAGCAGUCUUUCCACGGGAAUGUAGGUGAAAUCUGUAGGUCAAAGAUGUAGACUCCCCAAUAGAAGUGGGGAAGAGGCCUCUACUGCCCCCUUGUGGAGAGUGAUGAGCAGUUCACGUCUAUAUCUGGUUCCAGGGAAGGUGCGGAGGGGGAAAACCGGGGCAGCAGGUGACAACCCACAGAGACAGCAAACAAGGCUAAUUAAGUUUGCCACACAGAGUGGGCAUUGUCCAAGGAGCAUAAUGUAUGGAAAUGAAUUCCAUACAUUAAAAUUAAUCUUGUGGCGUAGGUGUCACUACUACCCUUUAAGGAAACCAAUGUACAAAGAGCAUACGUAAGCUAUCUUACUUAGAAAACCCCUGGAAGAGCAGAAUUUAGCCCAGGUUAGCCACUAUACAGCUCUGAGCACACACUUACUUAUUUACCUGAGAAGGAAUAGAUCAUGGCACGGGUGGAAGGCAGCUCCACCGUCAACAGGAGACAGUGACUUACUUACCUGGGACAUAGGUCUAUUAUUGAGGCUGAGACAUAGACAAGAAACUGUCAUCAAGGGAAAUAUAGCCCACCAGCCAUAAGACAACAAAAGACAGUCAGUCAGUCAGACUCUUUCUUUCUUUCUUUCUUUCUCUCUCUCUCUCUCUCUCUCUCUCUCUCUCUCUCUCUCUUUCUUUCUUUCUUUCUUUCUUUCUGAUAGAAUUUCUCUGUGUAACCGAGCCCUGGCUGUCCUGGACUCACCUUGUAGACCAGGGUGGCCUCCCAUUCACAGAGAUCCAUCUGCCUCUGCCUCCUGAGUGCUGGGAUUAAAGGUGUGUGCCACCACAACUCAGCCUCACAAUGAAAGUUAAGAGAACCUAGGCUUCCCCUUUCUCCCUAACUCACUACCUUUGAUAUUUCCCAUUUAUCAUUAGCUGGAUCUGAUUCCUUCAGUGUGCAGCUCACUCUCCUGGUCCUUAGUUUAGAUCUUCCUUCUGUUUGUGGCACCGUCCUGAGGAGCAGGGGGGCGGGGCGGUAGUAAAUGAGCAGAGGGGGCAGGGGGCGGGGCGAUAAUAAAUGAGCAUUUUCCACGGACUUCCUCGUGCGUUUCCCUCAGCUUUUCUGCAUAAGCACCAUGGUGGAUAGCACUCUUCCCUGUUCCUGGAGAGGAGGUAGGGGUUUUAAACCUAGUGUGUCCAUUGCCACCAGAGUGUCAAUCAUCCUGCUUGUGGCAGUCUGUGGCAGAGACGUUCCCCUUGUUACCUCUGAAGGAGUGCUGAGAACUGCUUGGGGGAAAUAGAUCCUGGACAUCCAGGUGGACUCAGAACAGAGCUGCGCUCACUCUCUCUGCCUGGAGAGCAGUUUCUCCCAUUGCUUUGUGCUAGGCAAGAACUGUGGCUGCGGUGGUAACUGUAGCGUUUGGGAGGCCGAGGCAGAAGGAUUGUGAGUUUCAGGCCAUCCAGGGAUACACAGAGACAUAGGCUGUCUCUAAAGGAAAAGAGAACACAAGAGAAAGGAAAGGAUCGGAAGCAGAGGGAGGGGAAAGGAGGAAGGGAAGCGAUCUCAUUUCACACCUUAGAAGUUCCCCUGGACCAUUUCAGAGAGAGCUUCUUAUGGUGACCGUUGUCAUAUGAUGACGCACUCCCUAGAGAUCACCUCUCCUCUUCUUACACGCUUUUUGAACAGCCAAAGACAAACAGCAUGAAAAAACCAAAACAAAAAACAAAAACAAACCAAAAAGCUGGGCAGUGGUGGCGCAUGCCUUUAAUCCUAGCACUUGGGAGGCAGAGGCAGGCGGAUUUCUGAGUUCGAGGCCAGCCUGGUCUACAGAGUGAGUUCCAGGACAGCCAGGGCUACAGAGAAACUCUGUCUUGAAAAAACC
rnacentral:lncRNA from 1 species